GACGAACGCUGGCGGCGUGCUUAACACAUGCAAGUCGAACGGAAAGGCCCUGCUUUUGUGGGGUGCUCGAGUGGCGAACGGGUGAGUAACACGUGAGUAACCUGCCCUUGACUUUGGGAUAACUUCAGGAAACUGGGGCUAAUACCGGAUAGGAGCUCCUGCUGCAUGGUGGGGGUUGGAAAGUUUCGGCGGUUGGGGAUGGACUCGCGGCUUAUCAGCUUGUUGGUUGGGUAGUGGAUUACCAAGGCUUUGACGGGUAGCCGGGCUGAGAGGGUGACCGGCCACGUUGGGCCUGGGCUACGGCCCAGACUCCUCCGCGACGCAGCAGUGGGGAAUAUUGCACUAUGGGCGGAAGCAUGAUGCAGCAACGCCGCGUGGGGGAUGACGUCCUUCGGGUUGUGAACCGCUUUCGCCUGUGACGAAGCGUGAGUGACGGUAAUGGGUAAAGAAGCACCGGCUAACUACGUG
rnacentral:rRNA from 1 species